GAUUAAGCCAUGCAUGUCUAAGUACAUGCCCGAAACAGGGCGAAACCGCGAAUGGCUCAUUAAAUCAGUUGUGGUUCCUUGGGCAGUGCCUUACGCGUUGGAUACCUGUGGCAAUUCUAGAGCUAAUACAUGCAGCAGAGCUCCGACCCGUCGAGGGGACGAGCGCUUUUAUUAGACCAAGACCAGUCGGACCUCGGUCCGCCGUCUGUGGCGACUCUGGAUAACUUUGGGCAGAUCGCACGGGCUCGACCCGGCGACGCAUCUUUCAAGUUUCUGCCUUAUCAACUGUCGAUGGCGGGCUACGUGCCCACCAUGGUCGUGACGGGUGACGGGGGAUCAGGGUUCGAUCCCGGAGAGGGAGCCUGAGAAACGGCUACCACAUCCAAGGAAGGCAGCAGGCGCGCAAAUUACCCACUCCCGGCACGGGGAGGUAGUGACGAAAAAUAACAAUACGGGACUCUUUUGAGACCCCGUAAUUGGAAUGGGCACAGCCUAAAACCUUUAACGAGGAUCCAUUGGAGGGUUAGUCUGGUGCCAGCAGCCGCAGUAAGACCAGCUCCAAUAGCGUAUAUUAAAGUUGUUGCGGUUAAAAGGCUCGUAGUUGGAUCUCAGUUACAGACGGGCGGUCCGCCUCACGGCGGCCACCGCCCGGACUGAACAGCCGGCCGGUUUCCCCCGAUGAUCUUCGCUGGUUGUCUCGGGUGACCGGCGCGUUUACUUUGAAGAAAUUAGAGUGCUUAAAGCAGGCGCGACGCCUGGAUAAUGGUGCAUGGAAUAAUGGAAUAGGACCUCGGUUCUGUUCUGCUGGUCUUAGGAAGGCGAGGUAAUGAUUGAGAGGGACAGCCGGGGGCAUUCGUACUGCGGCGCUAGAGGUGAAAUUCUUGGACCGCCGCAAGACGAACUACUGCGAAAGCAUUUGCCAAGAAUGUUUCCAUUAAUCAAGAACGAAAGUCAGAGGUUUGAAGGCGAUCAGAUACCGCCCUAAUUCUGACCAUAAACGAUGCCAACCGGCGAUCCGCCUGGGUUCCUCAAAUGACCCGGCGGGCAGCUUCCGGGAAACCAAAGUUUUUGGGUUCCGGGGGAAGUAUGGUUGCAAAAGCGAAACUUAAAGGAAUUGACGGAAGGGCACAACCAGAUGUGGGGCCUGCGGCUCAAUUUGACUCAACACGCGAUAAUACACCCGAAUAGGACACUUCGAGGAUUGACAGAUUAACAGCUCUUUCUCGAUGGAGUGGAAGGUGGUGCAUGGCCGUUCCUAGUUGGUGGAUUGAUUUGUCUGGUUCAUUCCGAUAACGAACGAGACUCCAGCCUACUAAAUAGGCGUACCCGGUCCUUGCUGCCGGGCGUUUCUUCUUAGAGGGACGGGCGGCGUCCAGCCGCACGAGACGGAGCUAUAACAGGUCUGUGAUGCCCUCAGAUACUCGGGGCCGCACGCGCGCCACACUGAAGGAAUCAGCGUGUGCUAUCCCGGACCGGAAGGUUCGGGUAACCCGUUGAAACUCCUUCGUGAUGGGGAUAGGGGCUUGUAAUUGUUCCCCUUGAACGAGGAAUAUCCAGUAGGCGCGAGUCAUCAGCUCGCGUCGAUUGCGUCCCUGCCCUUUGUGCACACCGCCCGUCGCUACUGUUGAUGAACGGGGGGGUGAGGUCUUCGGACUGGCUCUCGGAGCGGCCUAUCAGGCUCGCGCCGGGUUGACGGAAAGAUGACCGAACCCAUCCGUCUAGAGAAAGUAAAAGUCG
rnacentral:rRNA from 1 species